rnacentral:rRNA from 1 species
AGUUUGAUCCUGGCUCAGGAUGAACGCUGGCGGCGUGCUUAACACAUGCAAGUCGAACGGAGCUAUUAUGAAGGAGUUUUCGGACAACGGAGUAAUAUGCUUAGUGGCGGACGGGUGAGUAACGCGUGAGUAGCCUGCCUUGGAGUGGGGAAUAACGUUCCGAAAGGGACGCUAAUACCGCAUGAAGCAUCGGGAUCGCAUGGUACUGAUGCCAAAGAUUUAUCGCUCUUAGAUGGACUCGCGUCUGAUUAGCUAGUUGGUGAGGUAGUGGCUCACCAAGGCGACGAUCAGUAGCCGGACUGAGAGGUUGGCCGGCCACAUUGGGACUGAGAUACGGCCCAGACUCCUACGGGAGGCAGCAGUGGGGAAUAUUGGGCAAUGCGGCGCAGCCUGACAGCACGCCGCGUGAGGAAGAAGGCUUUCGGGUUGUAAACUUCUUUUGUCAGGGACGAAGCAAGUGACGGUACCUGACGAAUAAGCCACGGCUAACUACGUGCCAGCAGCCGCGGUAAUACGUAGGUGGCAAGCGUUAUCCGGAUUUACUGGGUGUAAAGGGCGUGUAGGCGGGAAAGCAAGUCAGAUGUGAAAUUCCAGGGCUCAACCCUGGACCUGCAUUUGAAACUGUUUUUCUUGAGUGAUGGAGAGGCAAGCGGAAUUCCGAGUGUAGCGGUGAAAUGCGUAGAUAUUCGGAGGAACACCAGUGGCGAAGGCGGCUUGCUGGACAUUAACUGACGCUGAGGCGCGAAAGCGUGGGGAGCAAA